rnacentral:misc_RNA from 1 species
GAUGAAGAACGUAGUGAAAUGCGAUAAGUAAUGUGAAUUGCAGAAUUCAGUGAAUCAUCGAAUCUUUGAACGCACCUUGCGCCCUUUGGCCAUUCCGAAGGGCAUGCCUGUUUGAGUAUCAUGAACACCUCAACUCUCAUGGCUUGCCAUGAUGAGCUUGGACUUUGGGGGUCUUGCUGGCCUGUGGUCGGCUCCUCUCAAAUGAAUCAGCUUGCCAGUGUUUGGUGGCAUCACAAGUGUGAUAACUAUCUGCGCUCGUGGUUUCCAUCAGAUAACCUCCAGUGAUGGAGGUUCGCUGGAGCUCAUAAAUGUCUCUCCUAAGCGAGGACAGCUCUUUUAAUGUUUGAUCUCAAAUCAGGUAUGACUACCCGCUGAACUUAAGCAUAUCAAUAAGCGGAGGA